CAUGCAAGUCGAACGAAGUAGCAAUACUUAGUGGCAGACGGGUGAGUAACAUGUGGGUAUCUGCCCUUUGGCCUGGAAUAACACGAGGAAACUUGUGCUAAUACCGGAUAAGUCUUUACGGAGAAAGCUUUAUGCACCAUUGGAUGAGCCCGCACUUGAUUAGUUAGUUGGUAGGGUAAUGGCCUACCAAGACUGUGAUCAAUAGCUGAUUUGAGAGGAUGAUCAGCCACAUUGGGACUGAGACACGGCCCAAACUCCUACGGGAGGCAGCAGUGGGGAAUCUUGCACAAUGGAGGAAACUCUGAUGCAGCGAUGCCGCGUGAGUGAAGAAGGCCCUUGGGUUGUAAAGCUCUUUCGUCGGGGAAGAAAAUGACUGUACCCGAAUAAGAAGGUCCGGCUAACUUCGUGCCAGCAGCCGCGGUAAUACGAAGGGACCUAGCGUAGUUCGGAAUUACUGGGCUUAAAGAGUCCGUAGGUGGUUGAAAAAGUUGGUGGUGAAAUCCCAGAGCUUAACUCUGGAACUGCCAUCAAAACUUUUCAGCUAGAGUAUGAUAGAGGAAAGCAGAAUUUCUAGUGUAGAGGUGAAAUUCGUAGAUAUUA
rnacentral:rRNA from 1 species